rnacentral:rRNA from 1 species
GAUGAACGCUGGCGGCGUGCUUAACACAUGCAAGUCGAACGGAAAGGCCCAAGCUUGCUUGGGUACUCGAGUGGCGAACGGGUGAGUAACACGUGGGUGAUCUGCCCUGCACUUCGGGAUAAGCCUGGGAAACUGGGUCUAAUACCGGAUAGGACGAUGGGUUGGAUGCCAUUGUGGAAAGUUUUUUCGGUGUGGGAUGAGCUCGCGGCCUAUCAGAGUGUUGGUGGGGGAAUGGCCUACCAAGGCGUCGACGGGUAGCCGGCCUGAGAGGGUGUACGGCCACAUUGGGGCUGAGAUACGGCCCAGACUCCUACGGGAGGCAGCAGUGGGGAAUAUUGCACAAUGGGCGCAAGCCUGAUGCAGCGACGCCGCGUGGGGGAUGACGGCCUUCGGGUUGUAAACUCCUUUCGCUAGGGACGAAGCGUUUUUGUGACGGUACCUGGAGAAGAAGCACCGGCUAACUACGUG